rnacentral:lncRNA from 7 species
AUGGCUGUGUCACUAUUUCUUUCUUUAUCAUCUCAUGGCGUGUCAAACUGUCAGCAAAAGUUAGCAGUUUGUCGAGUAUACUCUUCUUCUACUACGACACUGUUUUCCCGACCUUUCCUGCUUGGUUGCAUGCGUUCAGUUGUGCUAUUGUAUUUAUGAAUAACAAACAUAACACAUGCCCGAGUAGAGAGAUCUCGAGCACUGCCUGCCACGGCAAAUAUCGAUCGAGAGCCACACAUUCGAGGAGGAAGGAAGAACACAAGCAGUACGUAAAGAGCCACACAUGGCUGGCCCUAUCUAUCGCCAU